rnacentral:rRNA from 1 species
CCAGACUCCUACGGGAGGCAGCAGUGGGGGAUAUUGCACAAUGGGGGAAACCCUGAUGCAGCGACGCCGCGUGUGGGAAGACGGUCUUCUGGAUUGUAAACCACUGUCCCCAGGGACGAAAAUGACGGUACCUGGGGAGGAAGCUCCGGCUAACUACGUGCCAGCAGCCGCGGUAAUACGUAGGGAGCAAGCGUUGUCCGGAAUUACUGGGUGUAAAGGGAGCGUAGACGGCGGUGCAAGCCAGAUGUGAAAGCCCGGGGCUCAACCCCGGGACUGCAUUUGGAACUGUGCUGCUAGAGUGUCGGAGAGGCAGGCGGAAUUCCUAGUGUAGCGGUGAAAUGCGUAGAUAUUAGGAGGAACACCAGUGGCGAAGGCGGCCUGCUGGACGAUGACUGACGUUGAGGCUCGAAAGCGUGGGGAGCAAACAGGAUUAGAUACCCCUGUAU